rnacentral:misc_RNA from 1 species
GUAGGUGAACCUGCGGAAGGAUCAUUACCGAGUUAGGGUGCCUCGUCGCGCCCGACCUCCAACCCUUUGCUUACUUGACCUAUUUUGUUGCUUCGGCAGGCCCGCCGCCCGGAAACGGGUGGCCGCCGGGGGCGUUUCACCGCCCCGGGCCCGCGCCUGUCGAUGGCCCUAUUAAAACUCUUGUCAAAACGUGUCGUCUGAGUUUAUCUAAACAAAUAAAAACCAAAACUUUCAACAACGGAUCUCUUGGUUCUG